rnacentral:rRNA from 1 species
UACGUAGGGCGCAAGCGUUAUCCGGAAUUAUUGGGCGUAAAGAGCUCGUAGGCGGUUUGUCGCGUCUGCUGUGAAAUCCCGAGGCUCAACCUCGGGCCUGCAGUGGGUACGGGCAGACUGGAGUGCGGUAGGGGAGAAUGGAAUUCCUGGUGUAGCGGUGGAAUGCGCAGAUAUCAGGAGGAACACCGAUGGCGAAGGCAGUUCUCUGGGCCGUAACUGACGCUGAGGUGCGAAAGCGUGGGGAGCAAACAGG